UACAGAGGGGGCAAGCGUUGUUCGGAAUUACUGGGCGUAAAGGGCGCGUAGGCGGCCUGCUAAGUCGAACGUGAAAUCCCCAGGCUUAACCUGGGAACGGCAUCCGAUACUGGAGGGCUUGAAUUCGGGAGAGGGAUGCAGAAUUCCAGGUGUAGCGGUGAAAUGCGUAGAUAUCUGGAGGAAUACCGGUGGCGAAGGCGGCAUCCUGGACCGAGAUUGACGCUGAGGAGCGAAAGCUAGGGGAGCAAACGGGG
rnacentral:rRNA from 1 species